CUUAGUCUGUUAUUAGGGUGACGCCAGAGUCUGCACACCCAGCUGGAACCCUCACCUCCUCCUGCACCCUGAACCCCUCAUUUCUGGCCCCACCCAGAGCCUGCACCCCCUCCCACACACCAGCCCCUCGCCCUAGCCGAGUGACAGUGAGUGAGGGUUGGGGGAGAGUGAGCCACCAUGGGAGGAGGAAUGUAGGUGUGUUCCCAAGAGACACCAUUGAGUGUGUAUAGGGGCCAGCCAGGUGGACGCACCACCAAUUUUAAAUUCCUUUAGGAGUAAAGAGACUGAAGUAGAUAGGUGGAUAGAGGAUUCCCACCUAUCCAAAAUCACCACUGGGAAACUCAGGGUCUCUUUUAAUGUUAACAACAUCAGGUGCCCAGGCACACAAGUGAAUGUUGCCUGCUUUCGAGUAAGCCAGGGAGGAAGUGGGGGCAUACACAUGUAUUUUGUUCUUUUCUUACAGGAAGACGAAUUAUCUACUUGUAUUAUAAAGGAUACCCUUAUAACUCAGCUUAGAUUAGAAAGGUCAUCUCCUGUGGUGAGAGUAAGGUGUUGCUCCACUCCAGCAAAGGAAGCCUGAACAUAAAGGAGAAAGGAAGAGGAGGGGGUAAUAAAGAAUCAAGAUGCCUUCUUCCA
rnacentral:lncRNA from 1 species